rnacentral:pre_miRNA from 1 species
CAACUACUCCCUCUGUCCCAAAUUUCUUGUCUUAUAUUUGUCUAGAUAUGGAUGUAUCUAAUACUAAAAUGUGACUUGAUACAUCCAUAUCUAGAGAAAUCUAAGAUGAGAAUUUUGGGACGGAGGGAGUAUUUU